AGGACGAACGCUUGCGACGUGCCUAAGAAAUGCAAGUCGAACGAGGUAGCAAUACCGAGUGGCGAACGGUCGCGUAACACGUGGGCAACCUGCCCUGAAGUGGGGGACAACAAUCCGAAAGGGUUGCUAAUACCGCAUGUGAACUUUCCUGGCAUCAUGGAAUGUUCAAAGCCUUGUGCGCUUCAGGAUGGGCCCGCGGCCUAUCAGCUUGUUGGUGGGGUAACGGCCUACCAAGGCGAUGAUGGGUAGCUGGUCUGAGAGGACGAUCAGCCACACUGGGACUGAGACACGGCCCAGACUCCUACGGGAGGCAGCAGUUAGGAAUUUUCCGCAAUGGGCGAAAGCCUGACGGAGCAACGCCGCGUGAGUGAUGAAGACCUUAGGGUUGUAAAGCUCUGUCGGAGGGGAAGAACACAAUGACGGUACCCUCCAAGAAAGCCCCGGCUAACUACGUGCCAGCAGCCGC
rnacentral:rRNA from 1 species